UUACUUCAUGGAGAGUUUGAUCCUGGCUCAGGACGAACGCUGGCGGCGUGCCUAAUACAUGCAAGUCGAGCGGACCGACGG
rnacentral:rRNA from 1 species